rnacentral:rRNA from 1 species
ACGAACGCUGGCGGCGGGCUUAACACAUGCAAGUCGAACGGAAAGGCCCUGCUUGUUUGGUGUUCUCGGUGGGCGAACGGGUGAGUAACAGGUGAGUAACCUGCCCUUGACUUUGGGAUAACUUCAGGAAACGGGGGCUAAUACCGUAUAGCAGCUGCUCCUCCGUUGUGGGGGUUGGAAAUUUGCGGCUGGUGGGGAUGGACGCGCGGCUGAUCAGCUUGUUGGUUGGGUAGUGGCUUACCAAGGCUGUGGCGGGUAGCCGGCAGGAGAGGGUGACCGGCGACAUUGGGCCUGCGAUAGGGACCAGUGUGGAAUGGGAGGCAGUAGUGGGGAAUAUUGUCCAACGGGAGGAAGUGUGUUGCAGAAACGCUGGGUGUGGGAUGACGUCUUUUGGGUUGUAAACCGCUUUCGCCUGUGACGCAGCGUGAGUGACGGUAAUGGGUAAAGAAGCACCGGCUAACUACGUG